rnacentral:tRNA from 1 species
GCCGAAGUGGCGGAAUUGGUAGACGCGCUAGGUUCAGGGUCUAGUGGGCGCAUGCCUGUCCGGGUUCAAAUCCCGGCUUCGGCACCA